GACGAACCGUGCGAACGUUAUUCGGAAUCACUGGGCUUAAAGCGCGUGUAGGUGGCUUGGCACGCCUCUCGCUGAAAUCCCCUGGCUCAACCAGGGAAGUGGCGGGGAUACGACCAAGCUUGAGGGGGGUAGGGGGGACGGGAACUCACGGUGGAGCGGUGAAAUGCGUUGAGAUCGUGAGGAACGCCCGCGGCGAAAGCGCGUCCCUGGACCCCACCUGACACUGAGACGCGAAAGCCAGGGAGCGAACGGG
rnacentral:rRNA from 1 species